UGACGGAGCAACGCCGCGUGAGUGAUGAAGGUUUUCGGAUCGUAAAGCUCUGUUGUUAGGGAAGAACAAGUGCCGUUCAAAUAGGGCGGCACCUUGACGGUACCUAACCAGAAAGCCACGGCUAACUACGUGCCAGCAGCCGCGGUAAUACGUAGGUGGCAAGCGUUGUCCGGAAUUAUUGGGCGUAAAGGGCUCGCAGGCGGUUUCUUAAGUCUGAUGUGAAAGCCCCCGGCUCAACCGGGGAGGGUCAUUGGAAACUGGGGAACUUGAGUGCAGAAGAGGAGAGUGGAAUUCCACGUGUAGCGGUGAAAUGCGUAGAGAUGUGGAGGAACACCAGUGGCGAAGGCGACUCUCUGGUCUGUAACUGACGCUGAGGAGCGAAAGCGUGGGGAGCGAACAGGAUUAGAUACCCUGGUAGUCCACGCCGUAAACGAUGAGUGCUAAGUGUUAGGGGGUUUCCGCCCCUUAGUGCUGCAGCUAACGCAUUAAGCACUCCGCCUGGGGAGUACGGUCGCAAGACUGAAACUCAAAGGAAUUGACGGGGGCCCGCACAAGCGGUGGAGCAUGUGGUUUAAUUCGAAGCAACGCGAAGAACCUUACCAGGUCUUGACAUCCUCUGACAAUCCUAGAGAUAGGACGUCCCCUUCGGGGGCAGAGUGACAGGUGGUGCAUGGUUGUCGUCAGCUCGUGUCGUGAGAUGUUGGGUUAAGUCCCGCAACGAGCGCAACCCUUGAUCUUAGUUGCCAGCAUUCAGUUGGGCACUCUAAGGUGACUGCCGGUGACAAACCGGAGGAAGGUGGGGAUGACGUCAAAUCAUCAUGCCCCUUAUGACCUGGGCUACACACGUGCUACAAUGGGCAGAACAAAGGGCAGCGAAACCGCGAGGUUAAGCCAAUCCCACAAAUCUGUUCUCAGUUCGGAUCGCAGUCUGCAACUCGACUGCGUGAAGCUGGAAUCGCUAGUAAUCGCGGAUCAGC
rnacentral:rRNA from 1 species